AGUGAACGCUGGCGGUAGGCCUAACACAUGCAAGUCGAACGGCAGCACAGUAAGAGCUUGCUCUUACGGGUGGCGAGUGGCGGACGGGUGAGGAAUACAUCGGAAUCUACUUUUUCGUGGGGGAUAACGUAGGGAAACUUACGCUAAUACCGCAUACGACCUACGGGUGAAAGCAGGGGAUCUUCGGACCUUACGCGAUUGAAUGAGCCGAUGUCGGAUUAGCUAGUUGGCGGGGUAAAGGCCCACCAAGGCGACGAUCCGUAGCUGGUCUGAGAGGAUGAAAAGCCACACUGGAACUGAGACACGGCCCAGACCCCUAGGGGAGGCAGGAGUGGGGAAUUUUGGACAAUGGGCGAAAGCCUGACCCAGCCAUACCGCGGGGGUGAAGAAGGCCUGCGGGUUGUAAAGCCCUUUUGUGGGGAAAGAAAAGCAGCAGGUUAAUACCCCGCUGUUCUGACGGUACCCAAAGAAUAAGCACCGGCUAACUUCGG
rnacentral:rRNA from 1 species